rnacentral:rRNA from 1 species
UAUCAAGAUAUCAAGAGCUUACGAUGAAUGGCUUGGUUGAUGCAGACGAUGAAGGACGUGGCAAGCUGCGAUAAGCUGCGGUGAGGAGCAAGUAGCCUUUGACCCGCAGAUUUCCGAAUAAGUGAACUUCUCUAAAGUAAUGUUUAGAGGCUCCGAUUUAUCGGAGAGGCAACCCGGGGAAGUGAAACAUCUCAGUACCCGGAGGAAUAGAAACCGAAAGGUAUUCCCCUAGUAGCGGCGAGCGAACAGGGAACAGCCUAAACCUAGAAAGUGUUAAAGCCUGCUGGCGUUGCUUUUUCAGGUGUCAUGGGAUAUUGAUGGAAAAUACAGCAGUGUUUUCGGGAAGUUACAAAUCUCAACUAUAACUGAAUCCGCUGGGAAGCGGAACCAAAGAAGGUGAAAGUCCUGUAUGUGAAAUGGAAGAGACUUCCUGGUCUUUACUCCCAAGUACCACGAGACACGGGAAACCUUGUGGGAAUUUGGGCCGACCACGGCCUAAGGCUAAAUACUCGCAUCAGUCCGAUAGUGAACUAGUACCGUGAGGGAAAGCUGAAAAAAACCCCGGUGAGGGGAGUGAAAUAGAAUCUGAAAUCGUAAGUUUACAAAACGGUCGAACCAUGAUUUAUCAUGGAACGGCGUACCUUUUGUAUAAUGGUCCAGGGAGUUAUUGUUUGUCGCAAGUUUAAUCCGUCUUUGACGGAGGAGGCGUAGAGAAAUCGAGUCCUAAUAGGGCGACCAUAAGCGGCAGGUAAUAGACUCGAAGCCAGUCGAUCUACCCAUGGCCAAGGUGAAGUUUUGAGAAAUCAAAAUGGAGGCCUGAACCGGUGUCUGUUGAAAAAGGCUCGGAUGAGCUGUGGGUCGGAGUGAAAGGCUAAUCAAGACUGGUGAUAGCUAGUUCUCCCCGAAAUGGCUUUAGGGUCAGCCUUUAGCGUUCAGCUUAGGAAGGUAGAGUACAGGAUGGGCUAGGGUGGAUUAUAUCCAUACCAACCCCAACCUAACUCCGAAUUUCCUAAGUGUAAGGCUAAGGAGUGAGACUGCGAGGGCUAAGCUUCGUAGUCGAGAGGGAAACAGCCCAGACCGCCAGUUAAGGUCCCUAAAAGCAGGCUAAGUGGUAAAGGAUGUGAAGUCACAGAGACAGCCGGAAUGUUGGCUUAGAGGCAGCCAUCAUUUAAAGAGUUCGUAACAGAUCACCGGUCGAGUGAUUUUGCGCCGAAGAUGAUCGGGGCUAAAGCCUGCUACCGAAACUGCGGCUUCUCAACAUUUUUGUUGGGAGGGGUAGGGGAGCGUUCUAUGUGCAGCGAAGUUUUGGUGUAAACCAAGGUGGAGCGCAUAGAAGUGAGUAUCCUGGAAUGAGUAGCGAAAAUUCCGAUGAAAAAUUGGAACGCCGAAAGUCUAAGGUUUCUCCGUCAAUGUCUGUCAAACGGAGGUUAGACGGCCCCUAAGUCAAACCUCGAGAUUUCGAGGGUAGACGAUGGAAAAAGGUGUUAAUAUUCACCUUCCACCUAUUUGCGCUAAUUUAAGAAGGGACGCAUGAGAUGCGGUAGUCGAACUGUUGGAUGUGUUCGUCCUUGAUGGCAACAUCGAGGGGAGUCCAAGCUACGGCGCGGACGAACCUACCAGAAUCGAGUGCCGAGAAAAGCUUUUUAAAUUGUUUAUAGGUGACCGUACCGUAAACCGACACAGGUAGACUGCCUGAGAAUGGUAAGGCGCACGAGAUAAACCUCGCUAAGGAACUCGGCAAUCUAACCCCGUAAGUUUGCAAGAAGGGGUCCCCGAUGAAUAAUCGGGGCGCAGUGAAAGGGCUCCUGAGACUGUUUAGCAAAAACACAGGUCUCUGCUAACUCGUAAGAGGAUGUAUAGGGACUGAGACCUGCCCGGUGCCGGAAGGUUAAGGCAAGAGGUUAUUCUGGUUUACCAGAAGAAGCUUCGACCCGAAGCCCCGGUGAACGGCGGCCGUAACUAUAACGGUCCUAAGGUAGCGAAAUUCCUUGUCGGGUAAGUUCCGACCCGCACGAAUGGUUUAACAAUGGGAGCACUGUCUCAGCGAGGAUCUCGGUGAAAUUGUAGUGACGGUGAAGAUGC